GUACUUGCUUCGGCAGUACAUAUACUAAAAUUGGAACGAUACAGAGAAGAUUAGCAUGGCCUCUGCGCCAAAAUGACAUAAAACCCUGACAUUCACGAAAUAAUU